GAACGCUAGCUACAGGCUUAACACAUGCAAGUCGAGGGGAACGACAUUGGAAGCUUGCUUCCGAUGGGCGUCGACCGGCGCACGGGUGAGUAACGCGUAUCCAACCUCGCCCACCACUUGGAGAUAACCUUGCGAAAGUAAGACUAAUACCCAAUGACGUCUCUAGAAGACAUCUGAAAGAGAUUAAAGAUUUAUCGGUGAUGGAUGGGGAUGCGUCUGAUUAGCUUGUUGGCGGGGUAACGGCCCACCAAGGCGACGAUCAGUAGGGGUUCUGAGAGGAAGGUCCCCCACAUUGGAACUGAGACACGGUCCAAACUCCUACGGGAGGCAGCAGUGAGGAAUAUUGGUCAAUGGGCGAGAGCCUGAACCAGCCAAGUAGCGUGCAGGAUGACGGCCCUAUGGGUUGUAAACUGCUUUUAUAAGGGAAUAAAGUUAGUCUCGUGAGACUUUUUGCAUGUACCUUAUGAAUAAGGACCGGCUAAUUCCGUG
rnacentral:rRNA from 1 species